UUUUUAAAAACAGUGAAAAACAAACUUGCAGUGAAAUUUAGCUCGAUCCAGAUUCCAGAACAAAGAAAAAGAGUCUUGUAUAAAAAUUCACAGAUCCAAUGUGUCUGAGGUUGAGGAAUGCAUUGCAGUAACACUUAAGCAUGCACCAGCUCUAAAAGAUGGACCAAGAUAUAAAAAGAGACCUGAAACCAACACAAGACCAGCUGAUCAGAGGGCAGAAAACCAAAAUUUGGAAUGACAUGUAUACAACCAACACAAGACUAAAAUUUGGAAUAAAAAUAAAAAAAAUUCAGAAACAUAU